rnacentral:rRNA from 1 species
AUUGAACGCUGGCGGCAGGCUUAACACAUGCAAGUCGAACGAGUGGCGGACGGGUGAGUAAUGUCUGGGAAUCUGCCUGAUGGAGGGGGAUAACUACUGGAAACUGUCGCUAAUACCGCAUACCAUCGGAUGUGCCCAAGUGGGAUUAGGUGGUUGGUGGGGUAAUGGCCUACCAAGCCGACGAUCUCUAGCUGGUCUGAGAGGAUGACCGGCCACACUGGGACGGAGACACGGCCCGGACUCCUACGGGAGGCAGCAGUGGGGAAUAUUGCACAAUGGGGGCAACCCUGAAGCAGCCAUGCCGCGUGAAUGAAGAAGGCCUUCGGGUUGUAAAGUUCUUUCGGCGAGGAGGCGUUACCCGCAGAAGAAGCACCGGCUAACUCCGUGCCAGCCGCCGCGGUAAUUC